GUGAACGCUGGCGGUAGGCCUCACACCUGCACGUCGAACGGCAGCACCGUAAGAGCUUGCUCUUACGGGUGGCGAGUGGCGGACGGGUGAGGAAUACAUCGGAAUCUACUUUUUCGUGGGGGAUAACGUAGGGAAACUUACGCUAAUACCGCAUACGACCUACGGGUGAAAGCAGGGGAUCUUCGGACCUUGCGCGAUUGAAUGAGCCGAUGUCGGAUUAGCUAGUUGGCGGGGUAAAGGCCCACCAAGGCGACGAUCCGUAGCUGGUCUGAGAGGAUGAUCAGCCACACUGGAACUGAGACACGGUCCAGACUCCUACGGGAGGCAGCAGUGGGGAAUAUUGGACAAUGGGCGCAAGCCUGAUCCAGCCAUACCGCGUGGGUGAAGAAGGCCUUCGGGUUGUAAAGCCCUUUUGCUGGGAAAGAAAAGCAGCAGGUUAAUACCCCGCUGUUCUGACGGUACCCAAAGAAUAAGCACCGGCUAACUUCGUG
rnacentral:rRNA from 1 species